AAAAAAAAAAUAUCAAAGUAACAGCAGUAGAGAGGGAAAAACUAAACCCAAGAAUCAAAAGUGCAAACCAAGGUGAGAAACCGGCUGGGCAAAGGCGCAAAGACCUAGGGAGAUUGUCAGAGGAGAAAUCUGCCCCAAAAAAACCCCAGAAACGGCAACACGCGCUGGCGCGUGGGAUCGGUAGCAGAACUUGUGAUGUAGAAUAAAGGGAAGAAAAAUAAAGAACUAGGAGAAGUUAAGGACCAAUCAUUGGAAAAGAGAAGUAAUUUUUAAUAAUUUUAUUUAAUUUCAAUAA
rnacentral:misc_RNA from 1 species